AUGAGGCUGGCCCAGCAUAUCCGUGUCAGUCAAUUUCUUCUCAUUUCUAAGUGUACUUUUGUGGCAUGUAAGCAGCCGAUGGUGACACUGGUGUUGCUCGUAGGAGUUCUCCAGCCCAUGCCGAGAGAAGGCACGGGAGGGCCCCAGAAGGGCUCGAGGUGUUUGAAGGAACUCUCCCCCCACCCCUUCUGGCAAACCGCACCUUUUACUGUUGCUUUUUGUUUUGUUUCGCAAAACAGGGGAAUAGUCACUGGAGGACUCUGCUUUCUGCCUUGUGCAAAAGAACCACAUCAUUUAACACACUGGUGUUCAUUCUUGCUGCAAAAGAAGGCCAUUGUGCUUCCUGACCCCAAAAGCAAGGAAUGGUGGCUGCUACAUGCAGUUUUAGAUCAAUCUACUAUAGUCAUGCUGCCCUGAGACCCAGAUAAUUCCUCUGUGAACUCUGGACACUCCGAAGUAACUUCUAAUCCAGAGAUGAGGCCCAUGCCUGGAGCUGAGGCCAGAUGUGGAAGGCUCACAGGAUCCACAAGGGAGCUACUUGUGCAGGGCUCACUCUCGACUCCUUCCCACGGCUCCACAAACCAACGUGUCCAACUCAGCUUUCCAGGGCUUCAUUACAAG
rnacentral:lncRNA from 1 species